GAAGAUGAAGCCAUUCAGAUCCUCAGGUUAGGCAGAGCAUUGCAGACACUUGAUGCCAGAGAACGUAUGCUACUCAGUGGAGAACAUGGUCCUUGGAGAUUACAGGAGAACAUCUAUCAUUCAAUGGCACAUCAGAGCUAUCCAGUCGACUGCAUGCUGUGACAUAGCUUUUUACUUUCUACUGAAGAUACUACAGAUUGCUCCUCUCUGGGCAUGAGCAGAAAAGUUGCAGCAGUUCUACUACAAAACAAAACCAUACCGCAGAUACAUUCAGGCAUCAG